UACCAGCUCUCCGAGUGGUAGGGAUGAUUAUUGGGCUUAAAGCGUCCGUAGCCGGCUUAGCAAGUCUCCUGUUAAAUUCAGUGACCUAAUCGUUGAGCCGCGGGAGAUACUACUAGGCUAGGAGGCGGGAGAGGUCGACGGUACUUCCGGGGUAGGGGUGAAAUCCUAUAAUCCCGGGAGGACCACCAGUGGCGAAGGCUGUUGACUAGAACGCGCUCGACGGUGAGGGACGAAAGCUGGGGGAGCGAACCGGAUUAGAUACCCGGGUAGUCCCAGCUGUAAACGAUGCGAGCUAGGUGUUGGGGUGGCUACGUGCCACUUCAGUGCCGCAGGGAAGCCAUUAAGCUCGCCGCCUGGGGAGUACGGCCGCAAGGCUAGAAACUUAAGGAAUUGGGCGGGGAGCACCACGAAGGGGUGAAGCUUGCGGUUU
rnacentral:rRNA from 1 species